rnacentral:rRNA from 1 species
UACGGGAGGGCAGCAGUGGGGAAUAUUGCACAAUGGGCGCAAGCCUGAUGCAGCCAUGCCGCGUGUAUGAAGAAGGCCUUCGGGUUGUAAAGUACUUUCAGUCGUGAGGAAGGUGUUAAGGUUAAUAACCUUAGCAAUUGACGUUAGCGACAGAAGAAGCACCGGCUAACUCCGUGCCAGCAGCCGCGGUAAUACGGAGGGUGCGAGCGUUAAUCGGAAUUACUGGGCGUAAAGGGCACGCAGGCGGUUAAUUAAGUUGGAUGUGAAUCCCCGGGCUUAACCUGGGAAUGGCAUUCAAGACUGGUUAGCUAGAGUCUUGUAGAGGGGGUAGAAUUCCAUGUGUAGCGGUGAAAUGCGUAGAGAUGUGGAGGAAUACCGGUGGCGAAGGCGGCCCCUGGACAAAGACUGACGCUCAUGUGCGAAAGCGUGGGGAGCAAACAGGAUUAGAUACC